AGUUAGACAAACUGUCUAUAAAUGGAGAUGAUUUAGUACUAUAGGUACUCUCACUAGAAGUGGCCGUUAGAUAUUCAUCUGUCCACAGUUAGACAAACUGUCUAUAAAUGGAGAUGAUUUAGUACUAUAGGUACUCUCACUAGAAGUGGCCGUUAGAUAUUCAUCUGUCCACAGUUAGACAAACUGUCUAUAAAUGGAGAUGAUUUAGUACUAUAGGUACUCUCACUAGAAGUGGCCGUUAGAUAUUCAUCUGUCCACAGUUAGACAAACUGUCUAUAAAUGGAGAUGAUUUAGUACUAUAGGUACUCUCACUAGAAGUGGCCGUUAGAUAUUCAUCUGUCCACAGUUAGACAAACUGUCUAUAAAUGGAGAUGAUUUAGUACUAUAGGUACUCUCACUAGAAGUGGCCGUUAGAUAUUCAUCUGUCCACAGUUAGACAAACUGUCUAUAAAUGGAGAUGAUUUAGUACUAUAGAUACUCUCACUAGAAGUGGCCGUUAGAUAUUCAUCUG